UUGACCUCAAAUCAGGUAGGACUACCCGCUGAACUUAAGCAUAUCAAUAAGCGGAGGAAAAGAAACUAACAAGGAUUCCCCUAGUAACUGCGAGUGAAGUGGGAAAAGCUCAAAUUUAAAAUCUGACAGUCUUUGACUGUCUGAGUUGUAACCUAGAGAAGUGCUACCUGUGCUGGACCAUGUAUAAGUCUCCUGGAAUGGAGUGUCAGAGAGGGUGAGAAUCCCGUCCUUGACAUGGACUGCCANUGCAUUGUGGUGUGCUCUCAAAGAGUCGAGUUGUUUG
rnacentral:rRNA from 1 species